UGAUAAAUUCAUCUUCUUUGUACUCAUCACGGGAUCAAAAGGAACACAGAUGUUUUUAGCAAUCGGUGGCCUCUGAAAUACAGCGUUUUAAAAGCAGAGCCCACGAUCCUUCUGGAGGAUUACACGGUACAAACGCACACAACAAACCAGCACACUCGACCCGCACCGAGACGCCAAGAGCCUCACCAAGACUCUUCCUGUGCCUGGCAGAGCCCAUGGUGUGUCCGCGAUCAGGCACCCUCCCCACGGCGCGUGUGUGGUCCCGGGGUCCCCCCGCGGGGUGGUCAUGGCCCGGGGACACCCCACGGCACGCCUGUGGUCCCGGGGACCCCCGCGGGUGCCUGUGGCCGGGCCUCGGGCCCUGGACGCCCACCCGCCGGCCGCCUCUGUCCUCGGUGAGUGUGCCGGGUGCCCGGUCCCCGCGUGCCCACGCGCUGAGGGUCCGUGCAACCCCUCAGCCACUGCCAGGCCCUCCCGCACCCGGUCCCACACGGGGCCUCCUCCGGCCGUGGAAACGCCGGGCUGAUCGCGGGUGGAGCGGGGCUCUCCCCUGGUGUCCGGUAAGCGUAGGCAGGUGGCCAGCCAGUCGCCUCUGCACGAGGCCGGGCGCCAGGACAAGGCCCGGGGCGCCCAGGUCACCCCGGGGCAGCCCGCGCUUGAUGGUGCCCUGGUGGCCCCGAGCCUCCCCGCCAGGUCCCACCGCUGCCCGCCCUCGCUGGACAGGACCCACCACGGUCAGAAUUCCCGGUAGGGCCGCUGACGCUCCGGACCGAGACAGCCACGAACGCUCUCUUCAGGCUCUCCAAGCGGACCCCAGGAAACUUCCAGAAGCUCCUCCAAGAGCAAGAAAUGUCCUUCUCAUCCUUCACUUCGUGGAUCAAAUGCACCCUCUUCGCGCCGUCUCUCAGCCCUCCUCCUCAUCGUAUGUGUAGGACGACUUCCCCGUUUGAGGACCCUACGUUCCCCUGAGCUGGAGGCCUCUGCUCCUGUGGCCCUGCCCCGCCCCCA
rnacentral:lncRNA from 1 species